CCUAUUUAUUGAAGAGGAAAACACAGCUGUUAAACAACAGGAUUUUACAGUUAAUAUUCUCCCUAGUGGGCACAGCUGAACUUGGCUUUGAGUCUUCAGUCAUCAAGAAUUGUAGUGCAUUCCAGUAUGUCCUCUGCAACUUCGAGCUUUGGAUGAAAGCACCAGAAAAUCUUGAUCUUGCUCUUUUUUCACAUCUUGUGGAGAUCUUUCAGUCCUCCAGAGAUGGAUGUCAGAAUGCUGCAGUUGCCUACCAGGUGCAAAUGGUGCCCAAGCUCAUUUUCCUCUUCAAUGAUCCUGAAAUCAGUAACUCCAGGAUCACUGUAGCCUGCACUAUUCUCUCCCAUCUGUUGCAAGGAUACUU